AUGAACGCUGGCGGCGUGCCUAAUACAUGCAGGUCGAGCGAACGGACGAGAAGCUUGCUUCUCUGAUGUUAGCGGCGGACGGGUGAGUAACACGUGGAUAACCUACCUAUAAGACUGGGAUAACUUCGGGAAACCGGAGCUAAUACCGGAUAAUAUUUUGAACCGCAUGGUUCAAAAGUGAAAGACGGUCUUGCUGUCACUUAUAGAUGGAUCCGCGCUGCAUUAGCUAGUUGGUAAGGUAACGGCUUACCAAGGCAACGAUGCAUAGCCGACCUGAGAGGGUGAGCGGCCACACUGGAACUGAGACACGGUCCAGACUCCUACGGGAGGCAGCAGUAGGGAAUCUUCCGCAAUGGGCGAAAGCCUGACGGAGCAACGCCGCGUGAGUGAUGAAGGUCUUCGGAUCGUAAAACUCUGUUAUUAGGGAAGAACAUAUGUGUAAGUAACUGUGCACAUCUUGACGGUACCUAAUCAGAAAGCCACGGCUAACUACGUG
rnacentral:rRNA from 1 species